UGUAGAAUUCUCACAAUUCUGUGCUGGAUGACUACAGUUGGUAGGCUACUCUCCUCUGGCUUCUGACAAGACAAGACUAGUUGACUAGGCUAGGCCCUUGGCCUAGGACUCUACGUCCAAGGAGUUUACAGUAAAAACUCCUUGCUUACGUCACAUCUCGGAAAUUUCUCCGACGCCAAAAGUUGUCAAAGACAAUGAACUAUCAGCUUGAUCUAAUUGACGCAGAUACAUUACUCCGUCUCUUUAGAUCUGAAUAAAUGUCACCGUAAUUUAAAGUACAAUCAGUUUAAGUUCCAGUUUUACAAGUCUUGUGCUCAAUGUGGCCACCACCGGCAGCAGCAACAACAUCAAGCCCAUACGAGAAUUCCUUCCAAAAGCGCCUCAGAAUGUCUCAGUCCACCCUAGAUGGUAGUUGUAUUCGAUCUUUCACGUCAUUGAUAUUUGCUGGAAGUGGUGGAACAUAAACUCUGUCUUGUAACUUGUAACACACAUCGACAAGAAGUGUCAAUUCACUUUACUGCGCGAAUGCUUUGAUUUUUCAACAAGAUGGAGCACCGCCCCCUUGGCAUCUUUGGGUUCCAGCUCAUCUGAAUGAAAACGUGUCUCAGCGGUGGAUUGGUACUACAGACCUCGCACUGCGGUUGGCUUGCCAGAUCCCUGGACCUCACUCAUGAGAGUUAUUUUUUGUGCGGGGGCAUAUUAAAGACAAAAGUUUAUGUUCCACCCAAGGACUACUAUACUCAAGGACGUGCACAGUCGGAUUCCUGACUUGGCUAGCGAAGGCCAUCGAGUCAAACACUCCGGAUAUUCCCAUACUGACUCAGUGCCUUAUCUUUAGCUUUGACUCGUUCGUAGGAAUCGGGGACUAUUUAUCUCCUUUGAAGUAGAAUGAAUCCUAUCUGUAAAAUUCGUUGAUCUUAAUAAAA